UACAGAGGGUGCGAGCGUUAAUCGGAAUUACUGGGAGUAAAGCGUGCGUAGACGGUAGCGUAAGUCAGAUGUGAAAGCCCCGGGCUCAACCUGGGAAUUGCAUUUGAGACUGCUCUGCUCGGGUGCGGAAGAGGGAAGCGGAAUUUCCGGUGUAGCGGUGAAAUGCGUGGAUAUCGGAAGGAACACCAGUGGCGAAAGCGGCUUCCUGGUCCGACACCGACGUUCAGGCACGAAAGCGUGGGGAGCAAACAGG
rnacentral:rRNA from 1 species